rnacentral:rRNA from 1 species
CCUGACGGUAGUCGUAUGCUCGUCUCCGAGACUAAGCCAUGCAAGUCCAAGUACACGUCCUUGAACGACGGAAACUGCGAACGGCUCAUUAAAUCAGUUGCGAUCUACUCGGCGUUCCGCGCCGCCGGAUAACCGUAGUAAUUCUAGGGCUAAUACGUGCGAAGCGCCCGAAGCCGCGAGGCGACGGGCGUUCUCGCCGGAUGUAGGAACCGACCCGGGGACCGCCGGGGCAACCCGGCGCCCCCGAGACGGGGCGAACCACGGUGAAAUGACGGAUCGUCGGCCCCGCGCCGGCGACUCGCCGAAUGAGUUUCUGACCUAUCAACUCGAGACGGCGGGGUAGAGGCCCGCCGCGGUAACGACGGGUAACGGGGAAUCAGGGUUCGAUUCCGGAGAGGGAGCCCGAGAAACGGCUACCACUUCCAAGGAAGGCAGCA